AUGUUCAUGGAUCGCGAAGCGGCCGAGGUGUUGGAAACUUCUGCUGCACAACUACGAGCAACUAUGAUACAAGCUAGAAUCACUUACCCACUUGAGUUUCCUCUUGCGCUUGAUCCAAUGUUGGGAAAAAAAUUGCAUUCAAGGUCCUCUAGAAAUAAAUUAGCCAUGCCUACACAUUCAAGAGACCCCAUAUUCCAUGCAGGAUGA
rnacentral:lncRNA from 1 species